rnacentral:rRNA from 1 species
UACGGUGGGGGUAAGCGUUGUUCGGAAUUACUGGGCGUAAAGGGCUCGUAGGCGGCCAACUAAGUCGGACGUGAAAUCCCCAGGCUCAACCUGGGAACUGCGUCCGAUACUGGAUGGCUUGAAUUCGGGAGAGGGAUGCAGAAUUCCAGGUGUAGCGGUGAAAUGCGUAGAUAUCUGGAGGAAUACCGGUGGCGAAGGCGGCAUCCUGGACCGACAUUGACGCUGAGGAGCGAAAGCUAGGGGAGCAAACGGG